rnacentral:rRNA from 1 species
AUUGAACGCUGGCGGCAGGCCUAACACAUGUAUGUCGAGCGGAUGAAGGGAGCUUGCUCCUGGAUUCAGCGGCGGACGGGUGAGUAAUGCCUAGGAAUCUGCCUGGUAGUGGGGGAUAACGUCCGGAAACGGGCGCUAAUACCGCAUACGUCCUGAGGGAGAAAGUGGGGGAUCUUCGGACCUCACGCUAUCAGAUGAGCCUAGGUCGGAUUAGCUAGUUGGUGGGGUAAAGGCCUACCAAGGCGACGAUCCGUAACUGGUCUGAGAGGAUGAUCAGUCACACUGGAACUGAGACACGGUCCAGACUCCUACGGGAGGCAGCAGUGGGGAAUAUUGGACAAUGGGCGAAAGCCUGAUCCAGCCAUGCCGCGUGUGUGAAGAAGGUCUUCGGAUUGUAAAGCACUUUAAGUUGGGAGGAAGGGCAGUAAGUUAAUACCUUGCUGUUUUGACGUUACCAACAGAAUAAGCACCGGCUAACUUCGUG